UUUUUUUUUUUUUUUUUUUUCCAGAAUUACAACUUAUGUGUUCCCAAUGUUUUAAUCUAAUGAUUAUGUUUCUGUUAAGUGAACAUGCUCCAACUAAAAAGACACCAGGACAUAAGUAGCCCAAACCUAUUCACUGGGGAGGUGAAAGAAUGAAGUUUCAGUUCUAUUCUGAAUCUUGCUUAGUGGGGCAGUAGCUGGUGAGUCAGGGGUCUGGCCCAACAACCUUGACUGGAAAUUGCCUUUCUCUGCACAAAGAGCUACAUCUGAAUGCUCACAUGGAAGGCAUUGGCUCUAGGAAAUUGGGAUUUCCUGCUAGGAAGUAAAUUUGUGGAAAGACCUCAUAAGUGACUCAAGUUAGAACUCUCACACAAAUUCCCUAAGCCACCUUUCACUACAAAGCUGAACUGACCUGGUCUGGUUUUACACCAUUCUGUACCUAACACAUUUCUGUGCACGUGAACUAAAUAACUCGAAGUGUUAGGUAAUGAAUGGGUAGGGAAUAUUGGUCAUGGACAGAUAUCAGCAACAGUAUCUGUGGAUUUCAUUUAGUACAUGUUUACAGAAAAUAUUAAAGCAGGAUACACAAUAAGAAUGCUAAUCUAGUACCAGAAUUCCCACGUGCAAUUGUUAGAUACACAAAUCAUUCUAACACUGAUAUGUAAACUCACACCGAAAUUUGGUUCUGCAACUGCUAUCAAGUGCUGUCACUUACCCUAUCUCUAAUUUCAAUAAAUACGUGACUGAGGGGAAGGGAGCUACCAUUACAGUGAGUAAAAGCUUCAGUUUUGCUCUCCCUGCUUAAUGUAUUUCUCACUGACUGCUGGAGAUUCUUAAGUCCAUACAAAAUGCAGGCAGUGCCCAUGCCAUGGCAAUGGGUUUGGAGAACUCUAAGGAACAGACUGACAUGGCCACUUGGAGGAUUUUUUGCACACAUGGGCCUUUUUAGGUCCACUGGUCUGUGCCCAGCUGGAGCGAUUUGCUGUGAGCACUCCCGUGAGACCACGGAGCUGCUUCAGCUCAUGGUGGCUGACGCUGCACAGGCAAGGAGUGGGAGCAAACCACGCAGGGCACGUUAAUCAGGUGCUGGAAAUGAAACGUUGGCUGAAUGCUGGCUAGCACAAACUUCAUGGUCUCUCAUGAACUUCCUGUGACCCUCUAAGGAACACUGAGCUAUUGAAACAGACCUACUUACCUUUCCUAUAGCUGCUGCUAUUUUCUUUGAAGCAGUUUUUCCUGUAAACUCAAGUGGUUUUUUAUUUAGACUGACUAAUGCUGAUGGCACCUAAUUUUUAGGUUAACUAAACCUCUAAAAAGGCAUUUUUCACAUUUUACUACAAACCAUUGCUCUGAAAAAUAAAAGUAAUAAUGUUCUAGAUAGGCAAAGAAAGUUACUGUGAAAUUAAGAGGUUUCUUCUACAGAUAACUUAGGAGGAUUGACAUAAUCCUUUUUUAUAUCAGCCAUAGAUCUUAUUUUCAAAGUACAUUUUUUGAAUAUUAGCAAGUACUAACUUCUCACUGAAUGCCUACAAAAACAUACCAUUAUUCACAUUUCCUUCAGAUUUAUCCAUGCUUGCACAAAUUACUUCCAUCUAGAGCCAUUAAGCUGAAGGAGGCCGAACUACACAACUUUGGAAUUUAAGAUUUAAGGCUUUGGAAGCACAAGUAAAACAACCCAAAAGCUCAGCCUGGGCAGCCUGCACGAGGGGAACGCCGAGCGCGGAGCGGGCGCGGCACAACUGCAACCGCGACUUGCGCUGCUCGGGCCCUGCCCUCAGAGCGUUCCCCGCCAGCCCGGCGGCGGCGGUGCUCUAAAUCCAGCUCAGCCCGGGAUUCAGUGCCUCUCCCCGCUGUCAGCACCCUGCCAAGCGCACCAGGAGCGUUCCCAGCUGCCACGGCUCGCCGGGCUCAGCCCCGGAGCCCGGCCCGGCCCGGGACAGCCUCACAGCCGCGGGCCGGAGCCGCGGCCGGGGAGCAGCGAGCACAGAGCGGGCAGGCACCCACAGCCCUCCUCACAAAAACAGACCUUCCCGCCUUCGUGUGCACUGCACAUUUUAUUUUUAUAUAUACUUGGUUUCUUUACUUUUCUUUUAAAUUAUUUUUUCCCCAGGGUGGAACAUGCAAUAUUUGAAUCUUCACAAUGAGAUUUGGAGAACUCUAAGGAACAGGCUUACAUGCCACUUGGAGGAUUUUUUGCACACAUGGGCCUCCACAAAUCUCCACAAUUUGAGCUGUGAAGUGAAUUCAUCUCAGCCACUCGAAUACACACUUUAUUUAGGCUGAAAUCCAGAGAAAAAUGAUACUGAGCACUAUUGGCCCACACUCCUCAAGUAAACUUCAUGAGCAGGCAGGUAGGAAUCAAAGGAUUGUGCAGGACCAGCCCACAGACACCUGGAUCAUUGCUGGAAAUCCUGAGUGAUACAAAUGAAAAGUCACUCAUCUAGAGUCACCAACGAGACUGAAUAAAUGAAAUGAAAUUACUGACUUCUAUCAUCUGGUACUUUGGGGAGUUUUUUGCUGCAGUAUACAAAUCACGAAGGAUAGGAGCACACAAACAAAUGUGAGAUGAUCAAACAUUUCUCAGUGGUCCCUUCAAACAUGAUUUUGUUCAGACAGACCCUAAGAUUUUGUUAUAGGACAAAGUCUGUUCUGGAGCAAAUACAAGUGAACUGCUGCAAGCAGGAUUCUAUUAAUUUAUGUCCAGUUUGAGAUGUGGCCUUAUGCAUCCUUGGCAGUAAAACAGUUCAAAGGCAAUGACGGUUGUAAUUAAAUAAAUCCUCACUCUUCUGAAAACUAUCCCAGGUGAUAAGGAUUUUGGUACUGCUACAUAAAAGUUGGAUUAAAGAUAAGCAACUUAUUUUUAUUUGCAGUGUAGCAGAAUUCUGUCAUUAUUAAUCUGGGUUGCAAUUCGAGUAGCUAUAAGAAAAGGGUGAACAAGGGGAAGGAAGAUCACCACUUCAGAAAUGUGGCAUCUCAUUCUGUUUCUCUGUUGGGCCUGAUUUAGACUUAACAAAGUAAGAUGAAGAUUUGAGAUUCUUCUGUUGAAGCAAAAAGAGGAAGAAGUCUAAAAGAGUAUUUUUCUAGAGAUAAGAGCUUUAUAAACAGCUUUGCCUAACAGUGACAACAGCUUGGUCCUCUGUGUUAAUUUUUAUAGCAUUAGAAGCUACAGAAAUAAAUACAAUUUCACAUCAGAUCAAAAUUACUCCAUCUUCUUAAUUCACCAAAGGUGUGGAUAGUGCUAGGUGACUAAAUUUUAAAAAAAUCCCCAAACAGUAAUUUAUUUGGAGGAGAGAUUUUUUUUUUUCCCUGCCGAUUAGGUGGUGGUCAAAAUCUUGAAUAUCAUGAUUUUAUUUAAAAAUUAUCUUAGCUCCAACAGAGAUUUAUGGGAUUUGCAGAAACCAUAAUAAUUUUAAGUGGUGAUGUUGGCUGUUGUGGCCUUUGCUUGCUUUGUUUUUUUGUUGUCUAUAAACAGAGGGAAGUCUGGAAAAUCCAAAAGACACUAGUCUCAACAGAGAAUUCUAGCCCAAAAAAAAUGAGCUUCUGUAAUUUUAGAUAUCUUUCCAAAAUUCCGAACUGAGGCCCUAGUAACUCCUAACCUGUGCCAGUGAAAAGUCUGGACAGCUGCACAAAAAGGAAAAAACCAAAGUACCUGGAAAUUUGGCCUUGGACAUUAUAGUAGCAAAAGGCAACAAAUACAGGUUACUACAGAGAAAAUUAUCUAAUCCUUAUUUCCUGGUAAACGAAAAUUAGAAAGGAAACACUGAAAACAAAACAAGUCACACAGUAGCUUAAAGGAUCUACAUUUGAUCCCUUUGGUUAAAGGACAAAAACAGCUCUGAACAACCACUUCUGGAUGUCUUCCUACAUGCACUGAAGCCCCCGUACAGGACAGAAUGAAUCAAAGAAAAUAAAAUUUUGAAAAAAUUGAAGAAAAUAAAGAAAAUAGUAUUAAGUAAAAUGCAACUCCUCAAGUAACUGAGUAGCUCUCAAUAAGGUAAAUAAAGCAAUGGUGGAACUUGAUAGGAGAUCCAGCAUACAGAUCACUCCAGGUUAGCAAGGAGCUGUUUCUAACCUGGCAAAUGACUUCAUUCCUGGUUAGGACAGUAAUUAAUACUGCUCUUGCUACAUUUUUGUAUAUCUGUAAGCACAGAGGAAUUUUACAGAGCAUACCAGAAAUUCUGAACUAGGAGUAACCUAACUGACUCUGUGUCCAUCACGGAAGAAGCUACCAGCAAUGUGCAGCUCUCUAAGGAUCUAAUAGGUGUACAACACCAAAUUGUGACAUUUGAAAGGGAGAGAGCAAUGGCAUGGGUUUUGAAACUACACAAUCCAACUCCUUGAGUAUUUCAACUCUGUUGAAAACAGCAAGGGAAUUUACAGUGUUUCUUUCAAAUAAUAAAUACUUUACAUAAAUGGAGAGGAGAUUUGGAUUUUAUCUGAAAAUCAUUAAGGGAUAAGGAAGGCAAAGCAGUGCAUAUGAAUACCAAGAUACCUUCUACCAUCCCCUUUGUCACAAACACACCUAAAAGUAAUGGGCACAUAGAGAAAGUCCUCUCUAGUCCUCCUGUUCUGAGGUUUUACUAUAACAUUCAGAGGAUUCCUUGGUCACCUUCACUGAUCCUUUGAGACUGAGCCAAAAAGCUUAAAUUCUUCAAUUAUACUGGGAAGUUCCAAUCAGUGUCAAGCAAAUUAUGUAGUUAAUAAGGGAUAUCAAUUUGUGCAUCCAUGUAAGUACUGACCACCCUCUGCUCGUUUUUAAUAGUUUUGAGAACAACAACUUAUGUCCCGCUGUCUGCUCCUAAUAUUUAGACUCUGCUGUGUGCACUGCUCAGAAAUAUUCAGAAGCAGUGAAGUAGGACUCUCACUGACUAUUCUGUAAUGCAGAAGCACAAGGAGCUCUUCAGAAAAACACUCAGAGCCCACUCACCACCUCACCUGCUGAAGACAACCUGAGGGAGAAUGGGACAUUAAAUUCUGCAAGCCUCAUGACAACAGUCUGCAAUAUGAAGGUGCUGAGAGGGAAACAGCACCACCAAUUUGGAGGAACACUUGGACAUCAGAGCAGCACAAGACAGAAGAACUAACAACUGAAAAACAAAAGGCCUGCUCAUUUCUGGCUAAGUACUGGAGCAUAAACAUAUGUAGUACUCUCAAAGCACAGGAAGUAAAAGACAAACAGAUGAAAUGCAUUAAACAGAUAAUCUGCAUUACACAGAAAUGUCAGAUUUGUGAAAACACUGUUUAUCUGAGCAUCACAAGGAUGAAGGCCUAGGUAAAAAUACAUCAGACUCCCAGGCUUACCAAGAGAGGUUAUUUAAGAGGGAGGUUGCCCAGAAGUAAAAGUGAGGCUGUUCAGCAGCAUUCCAGGGCUCACAAGGAGGCAGAAAAGCAUUCUUGGAGCUCUUAUUGCCCAGUAAGAUCCACUGCAUAACGCUACCCCAGUGCCAGCUGGUCCUUUUAGAAAACUGUUCAACAGGGUUUCCUCUCAGGCGAGCUGUUCUGCCUCCAGAGUCCUUUAGACUGGAGUGCCACAGAAGCGCCCAACAUCUGGGUGUUGGCUUGUAGGUUUGUUUAAACAACACUUCGAGCUUCCUAUCUCUUCAAAUAAACACCACAGCCCAAAGUCUCCAAUUACACGUUAGGAAAUGUUGUGGUCCAAAAAACAAAUUGUUGUGAGUUUCAGUGGCUAAAGCCAUUAGAUUCACCUCUUGCCCAGGCAGUCACACCAAGGACAUUGCUCCAAACUCACCUAUCACAGCAUCAAAAGCAGAGGCCUGUUUGGUUGUAUCCAACACAGCUCUUCAUGGCAUUAUUAAAAUGCAUCCGAUUCUCUUCAUAAAUGUAUCCAGUACUGGGAAUAUCAAAAUAGGCUCUAUAUUCAGACAACAGAUGAAGGGAGCCAAAAGAGGAUAUAUUUAGUAUAUAGAAAAAAAAUUAGAAAAAAAAAAAUCUCUUUAUUAGUGCUUUUUUGUUUUAAUUAGAGAAAAUUGCAAUGUAUACACCAGUGCUGCAAGGCAAUCUUCCAAGAGAGCUAAGUGAAUGUAUGAAAAUACUUUUACUGAAAUAACUUAUGCUGAAUUAAAUGUUUUGCUACUUUAUUUGAUUUGGCUUCCUGAUCAUUUAACUGUCACCGAAUUCUGAACUUAAGAAGUGGCAAUGUUUAAUGACAAUAAGACAUUGUAGAUCAUGUGUUAAUGCUGAUUAAUGCACUUCCCAAGCGUGCUGGGAGCAUUUGGCUUGCCUUGUACCUUACACUGUGCACCCAAGGCAUGCAUUCAUCAGCACUACUGCUCUGUCUGUCAUGUCUUAUUGCUGAAGUAGUGCACCAUUCCCAGUAUGUUUGCUUUGAGCCUGCCUCAGUCAAUUUACAUUACACUGCCCACCCAAACCCACAUUUUUGAGGUUCACCCAGCUCUUGAUGAUCAGGGCCCUGUAUGUUUAAUAACGUUUUGCUCUGCCAGUCUAAUUAACUCCAGCACUGUAUCUGCAGUCAGAUAAAAUGCUCAUUUCACACCACAUUAAUUUUUAUCAGCUGAACAUUAAGCAACACAAAGCUAUCUAUGCUUGGUUUAAUUUACAUACUGACAGAGCUACAAAGAAUUACUGCAGUGACUGCAAAGCAAAUAAGUAGAACUGGCAUCAAACAUGGCUUCUUCAAAAUGAAAUAUUGAUUUGCAAGGCUGGCAUCCCAAAGCAGAAAAGAGGAAAAGAAAGAGAAUGAGAAAUUACUUUCCCCUGUCGGCACUAGGAAAAAAAAUACACAGUUUGUAUCCUGUAUUUCCUUAAAUGUUAUAGCUUGAGAGGGGUAUUAAAAUUAAAACUUAUUCUUCAAUUGGCCAAGAAAAGUUAGAGGUGGUGGUAACAUUUCUCAUGGCUUAGAAAGAAAAGGAAAAAGGGGUCAGGAAGGUGGGGAGGGACACGACAACUGUGUUAAACAAUAGAACUUAAAAGAUUUUCCUGCUCUUUUCACCGGCAAAAUUUAGCUGAGCAGUCCUUUUUUUGUGGACUAUGACCAUGAGUCAAAUUUGAAGGCAGAACGUAUGAAAGACCCUGGAAUUCUAAUAUAUGAAUAAGAACACAGAAGAAAAAUUCUGGGAGCCUAGGAUUUUAUUCAGUCUAGCAGUGACCCUUCAGUGCUGUUUAAAAGCAUCAGUGACCCCACAGUAGCCAGAAUAGUAAGUGUUCAUAUGAGUUAAUCUGAACACAUAAAAGCUGGCCAUGCACAUCAAUCAUGGCCAGCUUUUCCAGAAUGUUGCACCACAGUAGUGAGGUGAAGACCUUAGCUCCAAAAAUAAAGUAUCCUGUCUCUGCUCAACUGGCCAAAGUCAAACCUUCACUAAAGCUAAUUAUGAACUGCACACCAUUUAAGUGUUACAGAAUACAUCUUCCUUUGGGCUUUAUCUAUUCUUCUGUUCGAGGUUAAAAAAAAUUAGCAAGUUCAACUGAGCUGCAUUGCAAAAAUCUCACAGACAUUUAAUAAAUGAGCAAAAUUAAUAGAGUAGCACUCUGCCACUUCUGCCUGUAGGUUAACAUUAUCUUUUCAGUCUUGGAGUUGGUGUGUGCCACUGAGUGAUCCUCUAAUGCUUUUUUCCCUGCUCCUUAACCACCCUAAACAUUAGGAGCGAUGCUUCAGUAGCAGGAACGUUUCCACUCCCAAAAGUGCACGAGGUCAUCAGUACAAGCAGCUCCCUCAUAAGCAGGCAAGGGAGACAACUCACAGAUCCUGGAGGAGCACUGACUAGCUAAUGUUCAGUGUUCCUUUCCUGAGGAAAAAAUGUCUAGGAAAGGACUUGGUAAAACUUCAACAGCUUUCCUGAGCUUUAUUUGGUUUACUGGAGAGCUAUGAUUUGGGUCCUGUUCAGCUCUGUGGUUUUCUGGCUGCCCCAGAAACUGCCCUUGGCAUUGAUGUAGUUAAAAGUUGGUGUGACAUUUGAAAUUGUCCCUGUCCCUGUCUCCAUGGCUUCCUGUGCUUUCCUGCCCCUGCCUCUAAGAGCAGAAGAGCAGAUCUACAUUGGGCUGGGAAAUCAUGGCACUGCUCC
ensembl:lncRNA